rnacentral:misc_RNA from 1 species
UUGAUUUUAGUUAUUUGUGAACGUACUACGAACAACAAAAAAUAUUAUAGUCAAAAAAAAAUUAAAUCA